AUGGCAGCCCCAUUGGCAUACGGCACACUAUGGAGAUCAGCGUCUCGUUUCCAGAGGUGGAGAAACUCAAAGGUCUCUUCAUCAUGGGAGGCAACACUGACUUUCAACUUUGCUGCCGACCCGGAGGCUGCUUACAUCGUCCUGAACCGCUUCUUCUGUCCAACCUACAUCGCUACCUGUGAGUUCUGCUGUGAGAACAAGCUACCAUGGUCAUUCUGUGACAACUGGCUGGCCCGGGACUCGGACAAGGCCCGGGACUCAGACAAGGCCCGCUUCGUGAAGAGCAUCUUCAAACACACCGUGGCCACUUGUGCUCGCUACCAACGGGAGAUGACUGCUGGCCCGGGUUUUGUCGUGCGACUCGUACGCCAUGGCGGCAGCCAUCAAUGACGGUUUCGUGUGGGUGUCAGCCGGUGGCGGUUACGGUGGAGCUUCAGGGGACCUACACCCGGGGCAUGAUGGUCCUGGAGAAGGAGCACCAAGUUGUCAUCAUGAGGACAGUGGACCUGGAGAGCUUCAAGGAGAUGUUGAUGGACUCCCUGAAGUAAUAAGGGAACUACACCUAUACCGCUGUCCCAUAUUUCUUUCAAUUGUUUAUUUUUACAAAAUUAUAGGGGAGGGCUCAAAUUCCACUCUUCGUAAAGAUCUUGAUAAGAGGGAGACAGUUUGAGGUGGUGGAUGUGUCUGUUUUGACUUACCAUUAUGUUCUGAAUCACCAUUUUACUUUAUCAGGAAAUAAAUAUUUUACAGUUGUCUUACUAUAUAUAUAUAUAUAUAUUAUGAGGUCAACAGCAAAUGUCCAUGAGUGAUAUCAGUUGUUUUAGAUUGCAUUUCUUUCCUGUUAAUGAAAAGGGGGAUGAAGUAAAGCCUCUUUAUUGAAAGUGCCCAGGAAUGUACUCAGAGAAACGCCCCUUAGUCCAAUUGAAAUACAAAUUCACCACUUUUCAUUACUUCUUUCUCUUCAAUAAACAAGCUUUUCAGUACGUCAUGUUUAAAAUAAAAAAUAAAAACAAA